rnacentral:lncRNA from 1 species
CCAAACACAUAAAUUUAUCAGCAACAUAAUUCAACAACAUUCAACAAGAACUGCCAAAAACUAUCAAGUGCAGUUACAUGGACAAAAGGGAUGUCAUAUUAUAACCCAAAAACCUGUCACCACCCAGGUAAUAAUAUGCAUCCACUGUAACCGUUAAAGAAUCUAAAAUUAAGCUAACAGGACUGUCACAUGCAAUAAUUAGAUUACAUUAGAUGCCAAAAACUAUCACGACAUUCACAUAUUCAGAUUUGUGAAUUGCCAUUUUCUUUUCUUGCCAUCAACUUGGUCAUCCUUUGUCUCUCCAGUUGGUUUCCUGUUAUAUCAACUUUCCCUCUCCAUGUGAGAUUCUUUGGUGAGUAUGGAAGUUGUGUUGGCUCACUCACACCAUUGGCAUCACCAACAAAGCUCACACAACACUCUUUCUAAGUAGAAACCAGUAGAAAAUGAUAAGGGCACUCACAUGAUUCAAAUAAAGUAGAAUAGAAAUGAAUAAAAGAUUUAUGAAAUCCCACACAUUGAAGGAGAUAGUUGUCUGAGCCUCAAUAAACAAAGUAUAUGGGGGACCACAUUAUAAAAUUAAGAAAUCAGUAAUAUCCCACAUUCUUAAAGACACAUGCAUGCCAAAUUGGGGACCAUAUGCCCUCAUUUCUGCUACAACAAUAAUAACUAGUGAAAUACCCCUUUUCCCCAAAUAUAUACAACAAACAACCACUGAAAAUCAUAAACUAAGAAACUCCAGCUUUAGAACUCGUGAAACCCUAAACCAGGAACCACAAUACCACAAAUAAACCCUAAGCCACGAAUCAGAAACAACAAAAACUCAAAAGCUGAUGAGAAAUGGAAUGAAAACAAAAGGAAUAACAAUUACACUGAACUAAAUAACUGGUAGCACCAGAAUCAACACAAAUAUUUACAUUCUAAAAGCCACAUGGAACCGAUAAUCGUCAAGGUACAAACAAAAUCCUAAGAGUAGUAACAUAAACCCUAGAAUAGAAAUCAAGAUAAAUAUAAGAAAUGAAGAAACAAUAGAAGAAGAAAACGAAAUCAAAGUUUAAUAUCAGUAGAAAAGUUGUACCUUUGAAGAAUUUUACAGCCAAGUCGAUAGUAGAACUGCACGCCCAAAAUCGACUAUCCAUUUUUCUCUCAGAACAAUCGAGAAUUAUGACCCUCUUUCUAUAAUAACCGGGUUGAGAAUUUAUAUAUAAAUGAAGAAAACAAGUCUGAGUAACGGGUCACAGGUUAUUUAGUAAUGGAUUGGGUUAAUAAUUUCC